GGAGGGGUCGCAUAGUCCGGUCGAGUGCGGUGGUCUUGAAAACCACUGACCCGCAAGGGUCCGCGGGUUCGAAUCCCGCUCCCUCCG
rnacentral:tRNA from 1 species